GCAGUCCCCUAUGUGACUAAGGACUGGGAUAAGAGUGACAGCUUCACAAUGGGGAUAGUAAGUGAUAAAGCUUUUUCCUAGUAUGUUCAAAGACUCCAGAAUCUAAAACUUAACUUCUCUGCUAUCCAUCCAUACAAUUUUCAUUAAGAGAAAUUUACACCAUCUAGGAAGUCAAAUGCCACCUUUAUUUUUAUCUUAUCAAACCCUAAAAUAAAGGCCAGCAUGUGGUGUGGACAGGAGCCUUGGUUAGGAUCACAAAAAUUCUCACAUCAAAUAAUUGAUUUAAGUUAGAGCCAAGUUCAUCAACAAUAAGAUGACAGGGUUCAGGCAAAGUCAGUUGCCUGUUUACAUUUCAGAAAGACUAGCAUUGCUCCUGACACUAGUACAUAGGUAUAAGCAACCUCUGGGUGGGUAAUGCCACCAAACAAAAGCAACACCUUCAAAGUCUCUCGGUGACUAAAGGCAGCCAGACACUCAAACUGCCAGUCCUGAAUUACGGCCUCUGAAUGGUGAGGGCUUCACAUUUCACUGAUCAGGGCACAGCCCAAUCAGAAGACAAACCCCUGCACUGCCAGGGACCAGCAAAUCCGCUUUCUUCCAGAGUGCACAUGACUGAAUGUGCUUCUGUCCAUCAUCUGGGUCAUAUAUAGUUCAAUGCGAGCUGAGCAGACAGGGCUGCAAGGAAAUCUGGCGCGGUUCAAUACCUCGUCUACCCUGGGUUCCAGUAUCUAAUUUUUUUUACUGACAAACUCAUUUCUCUACCGGGACAGGAUGCUGUGCUGGCUGGAAGUUCCAUUUCUACAGCAAGAAUCCUAUCUGGAAACACAGAAGUUGUCCUCUAGCCACAGCAGCUCGAACUUUUUUGAUUGUUGUUGCUGCUUUCUCCCAUCACCCCCACCCCCUUUUGACAAAGAUCCAACUGUAAAAAGUCUUACGUAACAGUUCAGGACUACUUCGGUUCUUUUACUGGUAUAUCAAGAGGCCUCAAGAGGACUAUGAAAACAAUUACAUCUCUAAGUUGGAGCAAUGUGGGUUUCAGUAUUUCGUAGUACCUCUGGAAAAGGAAAGAAGGUAAGUCAAACAGUAAAGGAUGGCAUGGUGAGUUUUGACCAACUCAAAACCAAUGUAAAUCAAGAAUGAAAUAGACCGGUUUAUUAAAUUUGUAGUUUCUAUCACUCUCGGCUAAUUUUAGCCUUAACUUUUUUUUUUUUUUUUUAACUCUUAAGCUUUAUCCUUGCAUUAAGUAUAUAAACACCUUAGCAAACUCAUUUAAAAGACCCAAUGUGUGCCUCAAACUUGCCUGAUGGUAAAAACUAAAAUUAAGGACUUAAAGCAAAUUAAAGGAGUGAGGAUAAUGGUGGCCUUUCUUGCCAUGAAAAUUACCUCAAAUACAGUGGGAAACACCCCUAUGUCAUUCUAGAAACCUACCUUUCACGCUGCUCUAGUUUUUCAAGUCUAUGAAAAGCAUUCUUCUUAGAAUGCCAUGAAUUUGAGCAAUGGUAUUUUGUAGACAUCUAAUGGCUUGGAGCAGCAGAAGUCAGUAUUUUUUAAAAGUCUGAACAUUUGUCCAAAUGGUAUAAGGCAUUGACAUCUCUUCAAACUAUCAGAUCAAGAGGAAGACUGUUUAAACACAUUAAAGAGUUUUUAAACUACUACACAGUAACAGUUGCUUGAUUUUUGUUUUCAUUUGUAUACAAUUCACUGUCAUAACACUGAGAACUCAACAAAGCUGGCUAACUGGAGUGUUUUGACAGAGGGUGAAAUAAUUAAAUUGACAUAGAAUGUAAACAGUUUACAUUCAUACCAAAUUCUCAGUGGUUGAUUUUUUUUUUAAUGUGUACCACUUGGCUGCUCUAAAAAUGAAUUUGAGAAGAGUCAAUCUUUAAUACUUAAAUCUAAAGCAAAUGACAAUAACUAUCCCUGAUUAAAGAUUAACCUUAAUUCAGCCAGCAGUUCUGUAAGCCCUUCUACUGAGCACUCCUAGAUCCCUCCCAUUAGAAACCCCGCAUUCUGAAAAGUUGCAUAUAAUUAAUUCAUGCUCCAGAUUUUUAAUCAAGGACAUUCAGUAGCCAAUAAAAAAUAACUAGUAUGUCUAUAAUGUACCAAUACUCUUCAUGCCAAAAGCAAAGACACCUGACAUUUUAGUUAACUCUCUGUGACCUUACUGAAGAGAAAUGCAGGCUUUCUACUAGGUAAUGGAGUUUUUGUUUAUUUUUUGUUUUUUCAAUAUGGAAAAUCACUUGUAGACAAUCACUGAACCUCUGUGGUAACUCAGCAAUCCAGGAUCUCAACUAGAAAGAUCACCAGCUAUUAAGGUCAAUUUUUUUCAUCGUCCUCUAUGAAAUAUUUCACCUACAGACCCACCUACUAUUAAUACAAGUAAAUAAGGAGAAAAUGUUUACUUAUUUGACUUAGCUCUCACUGAAGAUGUUACCCCCCGAUACACAACAGUAAGUUUUGUGGUGGACAAGGAAGGAGGUGAUCUGAUCAAUGAAUGAGCUUUGCAUUCAAAAAAUCCAACAUUCAAGUUCUGGCUUAUAACCUUAACUCCUGGCUAUGUAACUUUGGGCAAAUCAUUUCAUUUCUCAACUCAGUUUUUUCAUGAGGUACAAGUGGGUUGUUGAGAGUUUAAUGAGAUAAAAAUAUACAAAUCCCAGCAUAUAACAGAGUCCACAAUGUAUGUUAAUUUCUUUCUUACCCAUACCCUUUAAUAAUGAACCUACUAUAAAAAUGAGGUACUCGACAUUUUCAGAAUUAAAAAAUAAUACCAUUCAAAGCCAUUUUCUCAGCCAUCCACUGGAGUCGGCUUGCAUAAACAACUGCAGCCUCGCCAGUUCAUUAAGUUCAUUAGCCCUCUGCUGUACACAAACUGAUUUCAUAAUUUAAAUACUCUCAACCUGAAAUCUGGAAAAGAAUAUGAGAGCCUCUAUCAGCAGUCAUCUCACUGCUUAAUGGCUCCUGGAACAUGGGCCCAGGCUGAAGAAGGGCUGACAGGGCCAGAACCCAGCCUUCAGAGGACUCCAAGGAACAUUCAACGCUGUCGGUGAGUUUGGGAUUUGAAAAAACCACCGACCGUUGACUGUACCUUGGGGUCUUUACAAACAGCACUACAUUUCCUGAAGCAAGGGAGCAGGCUGUACCUUCACAUGUCACAUAAGAUCACCAGAACCAGUCCUGCUGCCUGUCCCCCAAAGGUGAUCCAGUGAAUUUUUUAAGAGCUCCUAUUUCUAUUAUCCACUGUUCCUUGCUUUUUGUUGUGUUUUUGACAAAUAAGUGCUUCAUUUCAAUAAGAUAAGGAGAACUCCAUGAUAAUACCUAACGUAUUUAAAAAUGCCUCCUAGAAAUAUGCCACCCUGGUGAGAAAUAGGAUUAGCAAGGAAAGACAUUAAAAAUAUGUAUUUCGGUUUGGAGCCACAUUCAAUUAAGUAUUUUACACCCAUUUCUUCCACAUCCCCUUAAAACUUUUAUUAAGGGCAAGAGAAGGAUUUACUAAGCAAAAAUAGCACAAAACUAUCUAAUAUCUGCACAGCUCUUAUCACAUCCUACCUCCAAUUACAGUUAAUGUGGUUAAGUUUUGACAGCCCUGUUAGAACAUGAGCUGUUUGAAAGCAACUAUUGCUUCACUAUUUCUUUCCACACAUGUGCUUAUUUAAGUAUUUGUUUGUUAAAUUCAAGUAAAAAAAAAAAAAAAAAAAAAAAGGUCUGGAGUCAGAGAUCUGGGAUGAAUCUUGGUUAGACUUCCUAACUAAGCUCUGUGACCACAGGCAAGUAUCUGAGUCUGUUUUCUCGUGUAUAAAAUGGGAAAUAAGAACACUUACCUCAUGAAGUUUUGAGAUUCAAUGAGAUAAAAUAUAAAGUGCUUUCUACCAUUCCUAGCACACAGCAAAUACUCAAUAUAUGUAAGCUACUAUUAUUAUUUAACCCCAAACGUAACCUGUGCUAAUUUACCUUGAAAAGCACUAUUUCUCAGUUCAAAACAGAAGGAAAAGCCAGGACCCUCAACUCUUGUUUACAUCUACAAGGUAUGCAAGCACUGCCCUUGUGGUCAUAGAGCUACCUGUUAGCUUCUCCAAGGGCUCCUUCCAUUCUCUGAAACAGUUUCUCAUCUUUAAGGACCUCCCAGCUCUAGUAUCAAUGUUAUCUAUAACCAUGUGGGCCCUCGACCACUGGUUACUGAGAGAGAUGCCAGACACAGAACUCAAAGAACCCGUGUGGAAAAGAAGAGCCAGGAAUUCGGGAGUGCCAAGGCAACUCCACCAAAUGGAAACACUGAUGGCUGCACUCAACAUUCAUUGCUGUCGGUGGGUUUGAGUCUGAAUCAACUCACUGAUCAAUGAAUGCAAACUGCGGACCAAACAACCUAAGGGAAGCAAAAGCAGAGAGUCACUUGAGUGCAUCAGCUACUGUGCUGGGUGGAUGCUGCUGCGGUCUCCAAUACACUGGUUAAAGCCUCUCUUACUCUCUUUGGUUCUAUUAUGGAAUAAGCACUCUAAAUUCCUAGAAUUCUUCUUUUUCUUUUUUUUUUUUUAAUGUUCUAGAGUUAAAUGAUAUUUUAUAG